ACCCCGGGACCUUUACUAUACCUUGGUAUUGGCAUUCGGUGUGGAUUGUGUAGCAUAGGCGGGAGGCCGAGAGGCGCGGUCGCCAGAUCGCGCGGAGCCGUAAGGUGAAAUACCGCUCUGUUCGCAUUGGAUGUCUAACCUCGAACAGUCAUCCUGUUCAGGGACAGUGCCUGGCGGGUAGUUUAACUGGGGCGGUUGCCUCCCAAAGAGUAACGGAGGCGCCCAAAGGUCCGCUCAGCCCGGUUGGCAAUCGGGUGGCGAGUGCAAGUGCACAAGCGGGCUUGACUGCGAGGACGACGGUCCGAGCAGGGACGAAAGUCGGGACUAGUGAUCCGGUGCCGGUGUACGGACGCGGCAUCGCUCAACGGAUAAAAGGUACCCCGGGGAUAACAGGCUGAUCAUUCCCAAGAGUCCAUAUCGACGGGAUGGUUUGGCACCUCGAUGUCGGCUCGUCGCAUCCUGGGGCUGGAGCAGGUCCCAAGGGUUCGGCUGUUCGCCGAUUAAAGCGGCACGCGAGCUGGGUUCAGAACGUCGUGAGACAGUUUGGUCUCUAUCCUCUGCGCUCGUUGGAAUGCUGAGGAGGCCUGCCCAUAGUACGAGAGGACCUGGGUGGACGAACCUCUGGUAUGCCGGUUGUCACGCCAGUGGCACGGCCGGUUGGCUACGUUCGGAAGGGAUAACCGCUGAAAGCAUCUAAGCGGGAAGCCUGCUCCAAGAUAAGCAUUCCGUGGAACCUUCGAGUUCCUGUAGUCCCCAUGCAGAACACGUGGUCGAUAGGCCGGACGUGGAAGCCCCGCGAGGGGUGGAGCCGACCGGUACUAACGGACGAAAGGCAACACCAA
rnacentral:rRNA from 1 species